CCCUUAGAUGUUCUGGGCCGCACGCGCGCUACACUGAUGCAUUCAACGAGUCUAAAACCUGCUCUGAUAGGGGUGGGUAAUCUUUUGAAUGUGCAUCGUGAUUGGGAUAGAUGAUUGCAAUUUUUCAUCUUCAACGAGGAAUGCCUAGUAAACGCAAGUCAUCAGCUUGCAUUGAUUACGUCCCUGCCCUUUGUACACACCGCCCGUCGCUCCUACCAAUUGAAUGAUCCGAUGAAUAUCAUGGAUUGAGGAUGCAAGUAGGUUCGCCUAUCUUCAUCUUCGAGAAGUGAAGUAAAUCUUAUCAUUUAGAGGAAGGAGAAGUCGUAACA
rnacentral:rRNA from 1 species